ACGCUCGACACCUACGGGGGCAGCAGUGGGGAAUAUUGCACAAUGGGGGAAACCCUGAUGCAGCGACGCCGCGUGAAGGAUGAAGUAUUUCGGUAUGUAAACUUCUAUCAGCAGGGAAGAAAGUGACGGUACCUGACUAAGAAGCCCCGGCUAACUACGUGCCAGUAGCCGCGGUAAUCUGAGCGGGCUGGCAAGGC
rnacentral:rRNA from 1 species